rnacentral:rRNA from 1 species
CCCUUAGAUGUUCUGGGCCGCACGCGCGCUACAAUGAUGAAUUCAACGAGUUUAUAACCUUGGUUGAAAAGCCUGGGUAAUCUUUUGAACUUUCGUCGUGAUGGGGCUAGACCCUUGCAAUUAUUGGUCUCCAACGAGGAAUUCCUAGUAAACGCAAGUCAUCAGCUUGCAUUGAUUACGUCCCUGCCCUUUGUACACACCGCCCGUCGCACCUACCGAUUGAAUGGUCCGGUGAAAUCUUCGGAUUGAGACUUUGAUUUCUUCACGGAAAACGCUGUUUUAAAAAGUUGAUUAAACCUCACCAUUUAGAGGAAGGUGAAGUCGUAACA